UCUUACAAGAGAUCAUGACUACUGCUCAGUCCCUGAGCCGUCUGCAUUGGACAUAUCUGCAUCAGCUGCAGAAGACCUGUCCAAAGACGUGGAGACUCUGAGGAAGGAAAUACAGGAGUUACGUGUCCAGCGAGAAUUUGGGUUACAGCGUUUUGCUGGCUCCGACACUGACAUCCGAUUCUACACCAGAUUUCCAAGCUAUGAUCAUUUGAUGGCAUUUUGGUUUUUGAUUGAGCCUUGCAUCUAUAAAAUGAUCCGGGUUUCAAGAGCCAAGUCAGCUGCCAAUAGGAACGAAGAAGUGUUGACACCUGCACGCACAUCAACGAGGCAGCUGCUACAGCCAGUUGACGAGUUCUUUCUUUUCCUGGUUUUCCUGUCAGUUGGUUUGAAGGAGAGGGACCUGGCACACCGAUUUAACAUACACCAGUCCACAGUGAGCCGCAUUAUUGCAACAUGGACAAAUUUUCUUGCCACUGCACUGGGGUCUCAAUGCAUCUGGCUUACACGUGAAGAAGUGCAAGCUUACCUCCCUGAGGAAUUCAAAGAUUUCUCAGACACCCAGAUGAUCCUCGACUGUACAGAGCUGAGGUGUCAGACACCAUCCUCACCACUUCUCCAGAGUGAAAUGUACUCUUCGUACAGAUCCCACUGUACGAUGAAAGCCCUGGUUGGCAUAGCUCCACAUGGUCCAGUGACAUUCAUCUCUAAUCUGUAUGCUGGUUCGGUUAGUGACAAGGAACUAUUCAAACAAUCAGGCAUUGCUGAGAAGUUGACUGAAGACAUGGCAGUGAUGGUAGAUAAGGGCUUCCUAAUCACAGAUUGUUGUAAAUGCAAAGUGUACUGCCCACCUUUUCUAUCUAAGCAGAAGCAGAUGCCAGCAUACCAGGUUAAGGAGACGCAGGCCAUAGCCAGACUCAGGGUACAUGUGGAGCAAGUCAU